AAUCAACGCUAGCGGCAGGCCUAAUACAUGCAAGUCAAGGGGCCAGCAAUGGCACCGGCGCACGGGUGCGUAACACGUACACAACAUACCUUUAAGUGGGAGAUAGCAUCGGGAAACUGGUGGUAAUACCCCAUAAUAUUGCGAUGCGGCAUCACAUUGCAAUUAAAGUUUCGACGCUUAAAGAUUGGUGUGCGUCCGAUUAGCUAGUUGGCGGGGUAACGGCCCACCAAGGCUACGAUCGGUAGGGGGUGUGAGAGCAUGACCCCCCACCAUGGUACGUNAGACACGGACCCGAACCUACCUACCGGGAGGGCGA
rnacentral:rRNA from 1 species